rnacentral:rRNA from 1 species
UCCUUGUCGGGUAAGUUCCGACCUGCACGAAUGGCGUAAUGAUGGCCAGGCUGUCUCCACCCGAGACUCAGUGAAAUUGAACUCGCUGUGAAGAUGCAGUGUACCCGCGGCAAGACGGAAAGACCCCGUGAACCUUUACUAUAGCUUGACACUGAACAUUGAGCCUUGAUGUGUAGGAUAGGUGGGAGGCUUUGAAGUGUGGACGCCAGUCUGCAUGGAGCCGACCUUGAAAUACCACCCUUUAAUGUUUGAUGUUCUAACGUGGACCCGUGAUCCGGGUUGCGGACAGUGUCUGGUGGGUAGUUUGACUGGGGCGGUCUCCUCCUAAAGAGUAACGGAGGAGCACGAAGGUUGGCUAAUCCUGGUCGGACAUCAGGAGGUUAGUGCAAUGGCAUAAGCCAGCUUGACUGCGAGCGUGACGGCGCGAGCAGGUGCGAAAGCAGGUCAUAGUGAUCCGGUGGUUCUGAAUGGAAGGGCCAUCGCUCAACGGAUAAAAGGUACUCCGGGGAUAACAGGCUGAUACCGCCCAAGAGUUCAUAUCGACGGCGGUGUUUGGCACCUCGAUGUCGGCUCAUCACAUCCUGGGGCUGAAGUAGGUCCCAAGGGUAUGGCUGUUCGCCAUUUAAAGUGGUACGCGAGCUGGGUUUAGAACGUCGUGAGACAGUUCGGUCCCUAUCUGCCGUGGGCGCUGGAGAACUGAGGGGGGCUGCUCCUAGUACGAGAGGACCGGAGUGGACGCAUCACUGGUGUUCGGGUUGUCAUGCCAAUGGCACUGCCCGGUAGCUAAAUGCGGAAGAGAUAAGUGCUGAAAGCAUCUAAGCACGAAACUUGCCCCGAGAUGAGUUCUCCCUGACCCUUUAAGGGUCCUGAAGGAACGUUGAAGACGACGACGUUGAUAGGCCGGGUGUGUAAGCGCAGCGAUGCGUUGAGCUAACCGGUACUAAUGAACCGUGAGGCUUAACCUU